AGAGUUUGAUCCUGGCUCAGGAUGAACGCUGGCGGCGUGCCUAAUACAUGCAAGUCGAGCGAACGGACGAGAAGCUUGCUUCUCUGAUGUUAGCGGCGGACGGGUGAGUAACACGUGGAUAACCUACCUAUAAGACUGGGAUAACUUCGGGAAACCGGAGCUAAUACCGGAUAAUAUUUUGAACCGCAUGGUUCAAAAGUGAAAGACGGUCUUGCUGUCACUUAUAGAUGGAUCCGCGCUGCAUUAGCUAGUUGGUAAGGUAACGGCUUACCAAGGCAACGAUGCAUAGCCGACCUGAGAGGGUGAUCGGCCACACUGGAACUGAGACACGGUCCAGACUCCUACGGGAGGCAGCAGUAGGGAAUCUUCCGCAAUGGGCGAAAGCCUGACGGAGCAACGCCGCGUGAGUGAUGAAGGUCUUCGGAUCGUAAAACUCUGUUAUUAGGGAAGAACAUAUGUGUAAGUAACUGUGCACAUCUUGACGGUACCUAAUCAGAAAGCCACGGCUAACUACGUGCCAGCAGCCGCGGUAAUACGUAGGUGGCAAGCGUUAUCCGGAAUUAUUGGGCGUAAAGCGCGCGUAGGCGGUUUUUUAAGUCUGAUGUGAAAGCCCACGGCUCAACCGUGGAGGGUCAUUGGAAACUGGAAAACUUGAGUGCAGAAGAGGAAAGUGGAAUUCCAUGUGUAGCGGUGAAAUGCGCAGAGAUAUGGAGGAACACCAGUGGCGAAGGCGACUUUCUGGUCUGUAACUGACGCUGAUGUGCGAAAGCGUGGGGAUCAAACAGGAUUAGAUACCCUGGUAGUCCACGCCGUAAACGAUGAGUGCUAAGUGUUAGGGGGUUUCCGCCCCUUAGUGCUGCAGCUAACGCAUUAAGCACUCCGCCUGGGGAGUACGACCGCAAGGUUGAAACUCAAAGGAAUUGACGGGGACCCGCACAAGCGGUGGAGCAUGUGGUUUAAUUCGAAGCAACGCGAAGAACCU
rnacentral:rRNA from 1 species